AGUUAGCUUAUUUUGAUGGGUAAAUAAAUGUAUAAAUUGUUCAUCCGGAUGUAGUAAUGUGUAAAAUGUACUUACUAUAAAAAGAUAAGUAUUCUUAACCUGGAGGUAGCUUAUUUCAACAGGCAAAAUAUACAUAUACAUACAUUUAUGCUCCAAACAUAAAACACAGAAAAUGUACUACUCACGAGGCUAUAAAUACACUAAAUACAAUUACUA